rnacentral:rRNA from 1 species
UCCGUAGGUGAACCUGCGGAGGGAUCAUUACACAAAUAUGAAGGCGGGCUGGAACCUCUCGGGGUUACAGCCUUGCUGAAUUAUUCACCCUUGUCUUUUGCGUACUUCUUGUUUCCUUGGUGGGUUCGCCCACCACUAGGACAAACAUAAACCUUUUGUAAUUGCAAUCAGCGUCAGUAACAAAUUAAUAAUUACAACUUUCAACAACGGAUCUCUUGGUUCUGGCAUCGAUGAAGAACGCAGCGAAAUGCGAUAAGUAGUGUGAAUUGCAGAAUUCAGUGAAUCAUCGAAUCUUUGAACGCACAUUGCGCCCUUUGGUAUUCCAAAGGGCAUGCCUGUUCGAGCGUCAUUUGUACCCUCAAGCUUUGCUUGGUGUUGGGCGUCUUGUCUCUAGCUUUGCUGGAGACUCGCCUUAAAGUAAUUGGCAGCCGGCCUACUGGUUUCGGAGCGCAGCACAAGUCGCACUCUCUAUCAGCAAAGGUCUAGCAUCCAUUAAGCCUUUUUUUCAACUUUUGACCUCGGAUCAGGUAGGGAUACCCGCUGAACUUAAGCAUAUCAAUAAGCGGA